UGGGGAAUAUUGGACAAUGGGGGCAACCCUGAUCCAGCAAUACCGCGUGUGUGAAGAAGGCCUGCGGGUUGUAAAGCACUUUCAGUAGAGAAGAAAAGCUCAUAGUUAAUACCUGUGAGUCUUGACGUAACCUACAGAAGAAGCACCGGCUAACUCCGUGCCAGCAGCCGCGGUAAUACGGAGGGUGCAAGCGUUAAUCGGAAUUACUGGGCGUAAAGCGCGCGUAGGCGGUCUGGUCAGUCGGAUGUGAAAGCCCCGGGCUUAACCUGGGAAUUGCAUUCGAUACUGCCAAACUAGAAUGUUGGAGAGGGAAGUGGAAUUUCCGGUGUAGCGGUGAAAUGCGUAGAGAUCGGAAGGAACACCAGUGGCGAAGGCGGCUUCCUGGCCAAACAUUGACGCUGAGGUGCGAAAGCGUGGGUAGCGAACAGG
rnacentral:rRNA from 1 species